CAGAUUGUAGCUUAUAAUUAAAGCUUAUUUUUUACAUUAAUAUGAAAGUAUAUAUAUUCUAUCUGA
rnacentral:tRNA from 1 species